rnacentral:rRNA from 1 species
CCUACGGGAGGCAGCAGUGGGGAAUAUUGCGCAAUGGGCGAAAGCCUGACGCAGCGACGCCGCGUGAGGGAUGAAGGUCUUCGGAUCGUUAACCUCUGUCAGCAUGGAAGAACGGUCACUGUGCUAAUCAGCAGUGAAUUGACGGUACCUGCAAGGGAAGCACCGGCUAACUCCGUGCCAGCAGCCGCGGUAAUACGGAGGGUGCGAGCGUUAAUCGGAAUUACUGGGCGUAAAGCGCUCGUAGGAGGUAUGUCAAGUCAAGGGUGAAAUCCCCGGGCUCAACGGGGGAACUGCAUUUGAAACUGGCAAACUGGAGUGUGUGAGAGGAUAGUGGAAUUCGAGGUGUAGGAGUGAAAUCCGUAGAUAUCUGGAGGAACAUCAGUGGCGAAGGCGACUAUCUGGCACAUAACUGACGCUGAGGAGCGAAAGCGUGGGUAGCAAACAGGAUUAGAUACCCCUGUAGUC